AACCCUCAACCCCCCUAUUUUGUAAUGAGAUAGGCGUUUGGGCUUGGAUUGUGGCUGCCUGCUGGACUCUUUAAAUAGAGACCGGCUCAGCUGAAAUACACGAGCAACCCAGUUUGAUUUAACGGUUUGACUCGGCGUAAUAGCUUUAUUAUCGCUGAGGACGUUUCAUAUCAAGAUAGUGGUGCUUCUAAUGCGUACUUUGGUACAUCUUUAAGC
rnacentral:misc_RNA from 1 species